rnacentral:rRNA from 1 species
CCCUUAGAUGUACGGGGCCGCACGCGCGCUACACUGAAGGAAUCAGCGUGGCUUUCUCCCUGACCCGAAAGGGUUGGGAAACCCGUUGAAUCUCCUUCGUGAUAGGGAUUGGGGCUUGAAAUUGUUCCCCAUGAACGAGGAAUUCCCAGUAAGCGCGAGUCAUAAGCUCGCGUUGAUUACGUCCCUGCCCUUUGUACACACCGCCCGUCGCUACUACCGAUUGAACGGUUUAGUGAGGGCCUCGGAUUGGUCUCGGCCCGCUCUUUACCGGGCGGCGCCGUUGGUCGAGAAGACGCUCGAACUUGAUCGUUUAGAGGAAGUAAAAGUCGUAACA